UCCGAUGUGGUCUAGUGGCUAGGAUUUGCCGCUCUCAUGUGUUGAUUCACGGAAGCACCGGCAAGGCCGGGGUUCAAUUCCCCGCAUCGGAA